rnacentral:rRNA from 1 species
GAUGAACGCUGGCGGCGUGCCUAAUACAUGCAAGUCGAGCGAACGGACGAGAAGCUUGCUUCUCUGAUGUUAGCGGCGGACGGGUGAGUAACACGUGGAUAACCUACCUAUAAGACUGGGAUAACUUCGGGAAACCGGAGCUAAUACCGGAUGAUAUUUUGAACCGCAUGGUUCAAAAGUGAAAGACGGUCUUGCUGUCACUUAUAGAUGGAUCCGCGCUGCAUUAGCUAGUUGGUAAGGUAACGGCUUACCAAGGCAACGAUGCAUAGCCGACCUGAGAGGGUGAUCGGCCACACUGGAACUGAGACACGGUCCAGACUCCUACGGGAGGCAGCAGUAGGGAAUCUUCCGCAAAGGGCGAAAGCCUGACGGAGCAACGCCGAGUGAGUGAUGAAGGUCUUCGGAUCGUAAAACUCUGUUAUUAGGGAAGAACAUAUGUGUAAGUAACUGUGCACAUCUUGACGGUACCUAAUCAGAAAGCCACGGCUAACUACGUG